rnacentral:tRNA from 1 species
GCCAGCAUAGCUCAGUGGUAGAGCAGCUCAUUCGUAAUGAGCAGGUCCUCGGUUCGAGUCCGAGUGUUGGCUCCA